CUUUCUGGAUUAUGUCAGAAUGUCUCUAAAGAAGCUUGGAUUAGAUGAGUCCAAGCUGCCUGAAAAAACUAUAAUGGACUACUAUGAGAAGUAUAAGCCUAGAAUGAAUGAGCUGGAAGCUUUUAAUAUGUUAAAAGUCGUUUUGGCUCCUUGUAUAGAGACAUUGAUUCUUCUGGAUCGACUUUGCUACCUGAAAGAGCAGGAAGAUAUUGCAUGGUCUGCACUUGUGAAGUUAUUUGAUCCUGUGAAAUCUCCCAGAUGUUACGCUGUUAUUGCUCUGAAGAAGCAGCAGUGA
rnacentral:lncRNA from 1 species